rnacentral:tRNA from 1 species
UUAAUUGAAGCCAAAAUAGAGGCUUUCCAUUGUUAAUGGAACUAGUGGUAAAAAUAUACUAACCCAAUUAAA